ACGAACGCUGGCGGCGUGCUUAACACAUGCAAGUCGAACGGUGAAGCGCCUUCCUUUUUGGUGGGUGUGGAUGAGUGGCGAACGGGUGAGUAACACGUGAGUAACCUGCCCCCUUCUUCUGGAUAACCGCAUGAAAGUGUGGCUAAUACGGGAUAUUCUGGGUCUGUCGCAUGAUGGGUCUGGGAAAGAUAUUGUUUCGGUGGGGGAUGGGCUCGCGGCCUAUCAGCUUGUUGGUGGGGUGAUGGCCUACCAAGGCGGUGACGGGUAGCCGGCCUGAGAGGGUGGACGGUCACACUGGGACUGAGACACGGCCCAGACUCCUACGGGAGGCAGCAGUGGGGAAUAUUGCACAAUGGGCGCAAGCCUGAUGCAGCGACGCCGCGUGAGGGAUGGAGGCCUUCGGGUUGUGAACCUCUUUCGCCAGUGAAGCAGGCCUGCCUCGUUUGUGGGUGGGUUGACGGUAGCUGGAUAAGAAGCGCCGGCUAACUACG
rnacentral:rRNA from 1 species